CGGUAGCAGCGGAGGCGAACGGCCGGCGGGCCGGGGAUGCGGGGCGCUGGAGCUGGUACCCAGCGGGCGGCGCGGGGCGCGUCGCCAUCUCAUGGUGUGAGGAGAAAAAGAGAAUGAAGAAGGAUGCCCCGGGUGUUCCUUCCUGAUUCGUGGCAUCCUGGAACUUCGUAGCACCUUGAAAGAUGACUUCCUUAACCCAAGACAUCAACAGUCUCUACCCAGUCUAGAGAUGACUUACCCCCUGCAAGGCUCAUGGAUUGAAAACUUGAUUCCUGCUGCUGUGAGCUGAGGAGGUGUGUCUUAAUGCUCCCACUGCCAUCCGCCCCAUCUUGCCUACCUUGAUGGACUGAAGCUCUACUGAAUUCGUGAACCAACAUAAACCUCUCCUUUCCCAAGUUGCUUCCCAAAGCCUACUUAAGAACCACAGUCUCUUUCUUUACUGGCAGAAAUGAGCUCGCACAACACCGCUGGGAAACACAGCCAUGGAGAUGAGCAGCUCUACAGGAUGGAGAAACAGAUCUAAUGUUUAAGGGGAGAAUGAGCUAUCCUGGGACUGCAGCCACCAGGCUGCCUGCCUGGACCAUGCCCCACUUCCAGCCAAGACUAUGACUGCAGCUGUAGUUGCUGCUGCUGUUGCUAUGGCAACAUGGCCCAGAAGACAGCCCUAAAACCAAUGGGAUCUCUCCAGAUCUUGAUGACCCUGCCUAAACCUGAACUACUCCAAGCCCAAUCUAUACACAAAGAAACCAAGUGAUAAAACAGGAUGCAAAUUGAUAAUGGUUCCUGUUGGAUGAGAGACCCACACUCCUUGCUGUUAUUGGAAAAUGGAUGGUCACAAACUCCCCCAAGCCACACAUCUGCGGGGGACCUAAAAUUGCCAAGUUACUUAAUCCCAAACAUUAUUCUUAGAAUUGAAUUGCCCCUCUAACUGUUGUCUGACAGUGGCCUGGCCUGUACAGCUAAAGUUUUUCUAAAUCUGACAAAGGUCCUAAAUGUUAAUAGGAAAAUUCAUUGUGCCUAGAGGCCACAAAACUCAAUAUAGAUAAACGAAAUAUUUCCUUGAGACCAGUGAAAACUGGAUCGACCUCCUACCUUUUGCCCUCCUAAGGACCAGAUGCACCUCAUACCAUAAGGCAUGGAAUUACUAGCCAUUCCCUUCUCAAGUCCUUAUAGACGCUGCCAUAGACUCAGAGGACUGGUCAUCAGACAGUUCCAGAGGUUGUACCUUUCCCAUGUCUGAGCCUACACACAAGUUCCUGCCUGGAGACCUUAUAUGGAUUUAAAAAGAAAAAUCCUAACAAUGUGAAAAGAGCUAUAUCCUGUGGUCCUCACCACCCAUGAACCCAGGACACCCUCUGAAGGAGGCUACAUAAGAUAAUGGCAGAUAAAUCAUCACCAGGUCCUCCAAACUCCCUGAAGAUAAGACUGACACAAGCCCUAUAAUAAUGUUGUCUAUUUUGUCUUGUUUAUCUCUCUGUAGGAAAGACCUAAAACCCCAAUGUCUUAGUUGGGGUUUUAUUGCUAUAAAGAGACACUAUGACCAUGACAAC